GGGUUGUGAGGUUAAGCGACUAAGCGUACACGGUGGAUGCCCUGGCAGUCAGAGGCGAUGAAGGACGUGCUAAUCUGCGAUAAGCGUCGGUAAGGUGAUAUGAACCGUUAUAACCGGCGAUUUCCGAAUGGGGAAACCCAGUGUGUUUCGACACACUAUCAUUAACUGAAUCCAUAGGUUAAUGAGGCGAACCGGGGGAACUGAAACAUCUAAGUACCCCGAGGAAAAGAAAUCAACCGAGAUUCCCCCAGUAGCGGCGAGCGAACGGGGAGCAGCCCAGAGCCUGAAUCAGUGUGUGUGUUAGUGGAAGCGUCUGGAAAGGCGCGCGAUACAGGGUGACAGCCCCGUACACAAAAAUGCACAUGCUGUGAGCUCGAUGAGUAGGGCGGGACACGUGGUAUCCUGUCUGAAUAUGGGGGGACCAUCCUCCAAGGCUAAAUACUCCUGACUGACCGAUAGUGAACCAGUACCGUGAGGGAAAGGCGAAAAGAACCCCGGCGAGGGGAGUGAAAAAGAACCUGAAACCGUGUACGUACAAGCAGUGGGAGCACGCUUAGGCGUGUGACUGCGUACCUUUUGUAUAAUGGGUCAGCGACUUAUAUUCUGUAGCAAGGUUAACCGAAUAGGGGAGCCGAAGGGAAACCGAGUCUUAACUGGGCGUUAAGUUGCAGGGUAUAGACCCGAAACCCGGUGAUCUAGCCAUGGGCAGGUUGAAGGUUGGGUAACACUAACUGGAGGACCGAACCGACUAAUGUUGAAAAAUUAGCGGAUGACUUGUGGCUGGGGGUGAAAGGCCAAUCAAACCGGGAGAUAGCUGGUUCUCCCCGAAAGCUAUUUAGGUAGCGCCUCGUGAAUUCAUCUCCGGGGGUAGAGCACUGUUUCGGCAAGGGGGUCAUCCCGACUUACCAACCCGAUGCAAACUGCGAAUACCGGAGAAUGUUAUCACGGGAGACACACGGCGGGUGCUAACGUCCGUCGUGAAGAGGGAAACAACCCAGACCGCCAGCUAAGGUCCCAAAGUCAUGGUUAAGUGGGAAACGAUGUGGGAAGGCCCAGACAGCCAGGAUGUUGGCUUAGAAGCAGCCAUCAUUUAAAGAAAGCGUAAUAGCUCACUGGUCGAGUCGGCCUGCGCGGAAGAUGUAACGGGGCUAAACCAUGCACCGAAGCUGCGGCAGCGACGCUUAUGCGUUGUUGGGUAGGGGAGCGUUCUGUAAGCCUGCGAAGGUGUGCUGUGAGGCAUGCUGGAGGUAUCAGAAGUGCGAAUGCUGACAUAAGUAACGAUAAAGCGGGUGAAAAGCCCGCUCGCCGGAAGACCAAGGGUUCCUGUCCAACGUUAAUCGGGGCAGGGUGAGUCGACCCCUAAGGCGAGGCCGAAAGGCGUAGUCGAUGGGAAACAGGUUAAUAUUCCUGUACUUGGUGUUACUGCGAAGGGGGGACGGAGAAGGCUAUGUUGGCCGGGCGACGGUUGUCCCGGUUUAAGCGUGUAGGCUGGUUUUCCAGGCAAAUCCGGAAAAUCAAGGCUGAGGCGUGAUGACGAGGCACUACGGUGCUGAAGCAACAAAUGCCCUGCUUCCAGGAAAAGCCUCUAAGCAUCAGGUAACAUCAAAUCGUACCCCAAACCGACACAGGUGGUCAGGUAGAGAAUACCAAGGCGCUUGAGAGAACUCGGGUGAAGGAACUAGGCAAAAUGGUGCCGUAACUUCGGGAGAAGGCACGCUGAUAUGUAGGUGAGGUCCCUCGCGGAUGGAGCUGAAAUCAGUCGAAGAUACCAGCUGGCUGCAACUGUUUAUUAAAAACACAGCACUGUGCAAACACGAAAGUGGACGUAUACGGUGUGACGCCUGCCCGGUGCCGGAAGGUUAAUUGAUGGGGUUAGCGCAAGCGAAGCUCUUGAUCGAAGCCCCGGUAAACGGCGGCCGUAACUAUAACGGUCCUAAGGUAGCGAAAUUCCUUGUCGGGUAAGUUCCGACCUGCACGAAUGGCGUAAUGAUGGCCAGGCUGUCUCCACCCGAGACUCAGUGAAAUUGAACUCGCUGUGAAGAUGCAGUGUACCCGCGGCAAGACGGAAAGACCCCGUGAACCUUUACUAUAGCUUGACACUGAACAUUGAGCCUUGAUGUGUAGGAUAGGUGGGAGGCUUUGAAGUGUGGACGCCAGUCUGCAUGGAGCCGACCUUGAAAUACCACCCUUUAAUGUUUGAUGUUCUAACGUUGACCCGUAAUCCGGGUUGCGGACAGUGUCUGGUGGGUAGUUUGACUGGGGCGAUCUCCUCCUAAAGAGUAACGGAGGAGCACGAAGGUUGGCUAAUCCUGGUCGGACAUCAGGAGGUUAGUGCAAUGGCAUAAGCCAGCUUGACUGCGAGCGUGACGGCGCGAGCAGGUGCGAAAGCAGGUCAUAGUGAUCCGGUGGUUCUGAAUGGAAGGGCCAUCGCUCAACGGAUAAAAGGUACUCCGGGGAUAACAGGCUGAUACCGCCCAAGAGUUCAUAUCGACGGCGGUGUUUGGCACCUCGAUGUCGGCUCAUCACAUCCUGGGGCUGAAGUAGGUCCCAAGGGUAUGGCUGUUCGCCAUUUAAAGUGGUACGCGAGCUGGGUUUAGAACGUCGUGAGACAGUUCGGUCCCUAUCUGCCGUGGGCGCUGGAGAACUGAGGGGGGCUGCUCCUAGUACGAGAGGACCGGAGUGGACGCAUCACUGGUGUUCGGGUUGUCAUGCCAAUGGCACUGCCCGGUAGCUAAAUGCGGAAGAGAUAAGUGCUGAAAGCAUCUAAGCACGAAACUUGCCCCGAGAUGAGUUCUCCCUGACUCCUUGAGAGUCCUGAAGGAACGUUGAAGACGACGACGUUGAUAGGCCGGGUGUGUAAGCGCAGCGAUGCGUUGAGCUAACCGGUACUAAUGAACCGUGAGGCUUAACCUUACAACGCCGAAGGUGUUU
rnacentral:rRNA from 1 species